UGCAGUGAGCCGAGAUCGCGCCAUUUUACUCCAGCCUGGGCGACAGAGCAAGACUCCGUCUCAAAACAAACAAACAAACAAACAAACAAACCCACAUGAAUAUAACCAAUUAAUUUUGGGUCAGGAAGCAAAGGUGAUUCAGUGGGAGAGGGAAAGCAUUUUCAAGAAAUGGUGUAGAGCACUGCGACCACCAUCAACCAAAAAGAAAAAAGGACUUCAAUUAAAUCUCACAUCUUAUACAAAAAGCCUCAUAAAAUAAAUCAUGUAGAUCAUAAUACUAUAAAACUUUCAGAAACAAACAUAGGAGAAAAUCUUUGGGACCUAGAACUAAGAAAAGAACUUUUAGACUUGACACCAAAAGCAUAGUCUAUAAAAGGAAAAAUUGAUAAAUUGAAUCCCAUCACAUUGAAAAUACUGGCUCCGUGAAAGCCCAAGUGAAGAGGAUGAAAAGACAACCUACAGAGUGGGAGAAAAUAUUUGCAAACCACAUAUCUGACAUAGAGCUAGUAUCUAAAAUACAUAAUACCUAUAGAGAGAACUCAGAAAACUCAACAGUAAAAACAAACAAUUCAAUUAGAAAAUGGGCAAAAGACAUGAAUGUACAUAUUACCAAAGAGGAAACAGAGAUGGUAAAUAAGCACAUGAAAAGAUGUUCAACAUCAUGAGCCAUCAGGGAAAUACAAAUUAAAACCACAAUAAGCUAUCACUACAUACUAUCAGAAUGGCUAACAUAAAAAAUAAUAACAUCAAAUGCAGGGAAACUGGAUUACUCACAUAUUGUUAGUAGAAAUGUAAAAUAUUACAGCUUUUCUGGAAAGAGUUUAGCAAUUCCCCCCUCCAGAAAAAGAAUAAUUACCAUAUGACCUAACAAUUGCAUUCUUGGGAAUUUAAAACUUAAGA
rnacentral:lncRNA from 10 species